CUGGACCAGCUGACUCAUGGGGAAUCCUCAGGUGAUGGGAAGACAUGGGGGAGCUCUCCAGCAAUUGUGGUUAAUGCUGGUGCAGGACAGGCUUUCAUGACCAUCAAAACUACUGCCACCACCAAAAUUCAGUGGAUGCCUGCGUGAGUUGGGGUGAAAUGGCAUCUUGAACCUUUCAAAUGACAUUCAUCCCAGAUGUCAUCUCAAGGAUAUGGACUUCUCUUCCAGCCUGUUCUACAUCCGUGGAAAUCAUGUCCUCUCCUGGGUAACUAUGUCCAUGAUCUGUGUUUUAUGAAUAUGGCCACAUUCAACCUCUUUUGGCCCCUGAGCAUGUGCUGGCUUGUGGAUUGUUUUUGUUGUUUAUUUCAUCAGCACAUGGAGCAUACAGAGUUAGUAUAUAUUAUUUAA
rnacentral:lncRNA from 1 species